rnacentral:rRNA from 1 species
AGCAGCCGCGGUAAUUCCAGCUCCAAUAGCGUAUAUUAAAGUUGUUGCAGUUAAAAAGCUCGUAGUUGAAUUUCGGGGUUAGUAGGUUGGUCGUGCCACUGGUACGUACUGGUCUCACUGACUCCUCCUUCCUGAUGAACUGUAAUGCCAUUAAUUUGGUGUUGCGGGGAAACUGGACUGUUACUUUGAAAAAAUUAGAGUGUUUAAAGCAAGCUAACGCUUGAAUACAUUAGCAUGGAAUAAUGAAAUAGGACGUUCGAUCCUAUUUUGUGGUUUCUAGGAUUUGACGUAAUGAUUAAUAGGGAUAGUUGGGGGCAUUAGUAUUCAAUUGUCAGAGGUGAAAAUUCUUGGAUUUAUUGAAGACUAACUACUGCGAAAGCAUUUGCCAAGGAUGUUUUCAUUAAUCAAGAACGAAAGUUAGGGGAUCGAAGACGAUCAGAUACCGUCGUAGUCUUAACCAUAAACUAUGACCGACUAGGGAUCGGAUGAUGUAUUUUUAAUGUACUCAUUCGGCGCCUUA